AACGAACGCUGGCGGCAGGCUUAACACAUGCAAGUCGAGCGCCCCGCAAGGGGGGCGGCAGACGGGCGAGUAACGCGUGGGAAUCUACCCAUCUCUACGGAAUAACGCAUGGAAACGUGUGCUAAUACCGUAUACGUCCUUCGGGAGAAAGAUUUAUCGGAGAUGGAUGAGCCCGCGUUGGAUUAGCUAGUGGUGGGGUAAAGGCCUACCAAGGCGACGAUCCAUAGCUGGUCUGAGAGGAUGAUCAGCCACACUGGGACUGAGACACGGCCCAGACUCCUACGGGAGGCAGCAGUGGGGAAUAUUGGACAAUGGGCGCAAGCCUGAUCCAGCCAUGCCGCGUGAGUGAUGAAGGCCCUAGGGUUGUAAAGCUCUUUCACCGGUGAAGAUAAUGACGGUAACCGGAGAAGAAGCCCCGGCUAACUUCGUGCCAGCAGCCGCAGUAAAAC
rnacentral:rRNA from 1 species